rnacentral:rRNA from 1 species
UACGAAGGGGGCUAGCGUUGUUCGGAAUCACUGGGCGUAAAGGGCGCGUAGGCGGCCAUAUAAAGUCGGGGGGUGAAAGCCUGUGGCUCAACCACAGAAUUGCCUCGAUACUGUAUGGCUCGAGACCGGAAGAGGUAAGUGGAACUGCGAGUGUAGAGGUGAAAUUCGUAGAUAUUCGCAAGAACACCAGUGGCGAAGGCGGCUUACUGGUCCGGUUCUGACGCUGAGGCGCGAAAAGCGUGGGGGAGCAAACAGG